AUCAGUACUUUACUCAUACCCACCACAGUUACACACCUGAGAGAGAGUGCGAACGACGUCGCAUCAGAGAGAGAGAGGGAGGGAGAGGCAGGAAAGAAAGAGAGACCGAUGAAAGGGAGAGGAAGUCGGCCACCUCAUCCUGACGAAGGGGAUGAUGGCGACGGCUUAUGUAUUCCGACAACCAGAUUGGCGGCGAUGGUGGCUAGGGUUCCAGUUUAGGGUUUUGAAACCAGAUCGUGAAGGUAUUGAGGACAACCAAUAGUUGGAGAAAACUAUUUAAACAGGUAGAUGUACCUAUGGCUUAGUUUGUUUUUUGUGCAUAUUUAAGGUGUACAUUUGAUUAUGUUAGUUGUACACUAAAGCUUCUUUUGCAAGCUCUAUGUUCCAUAUAGGUUUUAGAGAGAUCAGGUUUAAAGGCUUGAACAAAUUUUAAGUUCGAAGAGAAUUUUAGGGGAAACCAUCAGACAUGAAACCCUUGGUCCUUUGAUCAGAGAUAUAGAGAUAUAUAGAGAGAGAGCGAUAGAAAGAUUGCAAAGAGAGAGAGAGGGAAUCGAUUUCACGGUGAUUUGAUGGUGGUGGGUUGAGGCGCAGCCGGAGAGAGACAAUGUUUCAUGGCGGUGGUUCUGCCACCAGUGAUGGCGGUGGUUUGCCGAGCGAAGAUGACGCCAUCGCAUCAGGCGGUCCGGCCCCGGCGGCGGACAGCGGAGUGUUUUUUCCGAGUUAACUAUUUGUUUGAAUCCGUUAGUGCGUACGACUCCUAACAUCGCAUCCGGCGGUCCGGCCCAACGGCGCAUAGCGGAAGGUUUCGGAGUUAAUUUUUUUGUUUGAGUUUUAGCGUAUACGAGUCCUAACCGGGCUUUGUGUGCGACAUUUUUUUUUUGAAAUAUAGUAUUUGAAAUGAUAACCUUAUUUUCUGUUUUGAGCAGGUUGGAAGUUGGAUAGUCGUGUUUUGCUGAACCUUUAUCUUGUAUGCAAAGCUCAGUGUGUCUUCCCUCGGCACCUACAUUUAGGACAAUAUUUGGAGUUCAUUAGGUAAACUGCGAAGCUCAGUGCAGCAGUUUUGCUGAACCUUUAUCUUGUAGCGCAACUGAUUUGCUGGUGCUCAUUUAUAAAAACUUACCAGGACAAAAUUUGGAGUUCAUUAGGUAAAUUACACUACAAAUCAGUUGCGCUAACCAGUAGGUUAAGUGUGUUAAUUUAAAGAACCUGGGUCACCUUUAAUUACCUGAUGAGUUGUUAUAAGCUUGAACCAGUGGGUGUUAAACGGGUUAGUUUUAUGAACCUGGUAAGUUUUUAUAAAUGGGCACCAGCAUUUUAAUCUUAUGCUAAAAGAAUUGUGCGCCUCAUUGUGUUGGGUCAAACGGGUCCAACUUUAUACAACAGGCCAAUCGAUUUGUUUUUUAAAUAGCUCAAGCAGAUCAGAUUUAUUAAACAGGUAAAACAAUCAUCUUUUCUUAAACGGGUCACGUGGGUUAUAUAACUUAUAUUUAUUGAACGGACAGUUUUUUUACAAGGGCCAAUUGGGUCAGUUUUAAGUUGGUACUUUCUUAUUAGUGGUCACUAACACUUUUGAUUUAUUCCAUCAUUUUUGUGUCUGUUUGCCGCAUAGUUCUAAAGUUUUUAUUACAUGGGUCGAACAUGUCAACUUUAUAGAAUAGGUCAAUCGAUUCGCUUUAUUAAAUGGCUCAAGUGGGCCAGUUUUAUUAAACAGGUUGAACGAUCAGUUUCUCUUAAACGUCGAGUGAGUUAGUUCUAUUAAAUGGGUCAAAAGGGAAAGUUUUCCUACACAGGCCAACUGGAUCAGUUUCAAUGACCUGGUGAGUUUUUAUAAACGUUUAGAGUAGUUUUAAAAUUGAGGGCAUCCAAGCACCUAAGGUGUUGCGUAGCUGUAAAAUAUAAAUGAUUUUUUGCUAAUAAACAUUGAAUCAGAUGGUUGCUAUUAGUUUCUUUUUGUUGGGAAUUGCUAACAUAUAGAGAAGUUAGGCUAGACUUAAUUCUGAGGUAAAUGAAAUGAUUCCUGGAUGUUCGAUCUAUAUCUACCAGGCUUAAAUUUAUUUAUAUCAAAAUCAACAUACACUCGAGGAGCCUUAAUUCUGAGCUUUUCGUAGGAUGUUAUCUAAAUUAAUCGGUCCCGGUGCAACCAAUUUAUGCAUCAAAGGUGUCGCGUGUGGCCGAGGAGCUGUUGUAACUGAUCUAUCUUCUCAUUGGCUGUUGUAUGUUCAACCAUGUAUUUUCCAACCACUAUAGCAGCCCUAUGAGCAACAAGUUUCCUCAUAGAUCAAGUGAUUCCUUCAAGCAAUUUGUAUCGGUGAAGAACAUGUGAAGCAGCAACUUUAAACUUCAUUGAAGAAUGAGGCAUAUGAUUGAACACUUUAUGCUUAAAAUGCCUUCUCCAUGACCUCUUUCAUUCAACUACACUUCAAAUUGUCAUGGAGUAGUCAUAGUUUGCAUCACCUCAGCUACAUAUUAGACGUCUUUCUCCAAUGCUAGACUUUUCAUAGCUUAUGUUAGCGGAUUAUGGCGUCGAUAGACCGACCAUGGGAGAUGUAUUGUGGAACAUGGAACAUGCACUUUAGCUUCAAGAAGUCGAAAGUGCAAAUGCAACUAGCAUCUGUCAAACCAGCGAACGAGACAUUACAGCGAGUGUUGGCUCUAGCAAUAUAUGCUGAUGAUUGACUUGCUUUCGGGCACGAGAACAAGCCAAGUUUUUUCACAGUUGGUAGCCAACGAUUAUAGGUAACAAGUUGUCGAUUUCAAUUAGCCAUUUACUAUUAUUUGUUUAUACUUUGCAUAAAUAAUGUAGUUUUGAUAAUCUUUGUAAAACAAAGAAAGGGUCUAUGCCAUCAUCAAGGAUAAGACUUCAACUACUGGUCUGGUCAUUCAAGGAAGUUGGAAUGAUGCUCUAAUGUCACGUUUAUAAUAUUUGUAUUUUUUUUGGUAGAGAAGAAGUGAUAUCAUUGUUUAGUUAUAUUGUACUAUAUGUGAAACUGAGCCCCGCCAGCAACGCUGCGGGUGCUUCUUCUAGUUUUAAAAUAAAAAGAAUGAACUACGAAGA